CAUAAUAUCUUAGAGCCCCUCCUAUCCGAUCGACGCGCCAUCUAGCGCUGCGUGAUCAAUGCGUAUCGAGUGGGUAGUUACAGCUUGAAGCAUUUGCUUCCUCUUCGUCUAAAAGGAAUGCACGCGAAUCCAAUUAGACCCACAAUUCCAAAAUUUCUCUGCAACGAAGCGUGCGCGUAGCGUGCCAGUAACCUGAUGGAUGCCCGAGGACUCAGGGAGGCGACUCUAACACAAUCUCUAGCCAGCGAAUGCUCAGUGAAAAAUGCGUCCGCGGUGAUUCCGUCACUUCGAGGCUAGAAUCUGCACGCUGGCUGUUCACCCUCACACUCUGCUGCUUCUUCGCGUUCUGAGCCCAAGUCACCAGGCUCUCUCGGACAUUCUCCUCGAAUACCGUUUGCUUGAAAUGA